UUAAGUCCCGCAACGAGCGCAACCCUUAUCCUUUGUUGCCAGCGAUUAGGUCGGGAACUCAAAGGAGACUGCCAGUGAUAAACUGGAGGAAGGUGGGGAUGACGUCAAGUCAUCAUGGCCCUUACGACCAGGGCUACACACGUGCUACAAUGGCGCAUACAAAGAGAAGCGACCUCGCGAGAGCAAGCGGACCUCAUAAAGUGCGUCGUAGUCCGGAUUGGAGUCUGCAACUCGACUCCAUGAAGUCGGAAUCGCUAGUAAUCGUGGAUCAGAAUGCCACGGUGAAUACGUUCCCGGGCCUUGUACACACCGCCCGUCACACCAUGGGAGUGGGUUGCAAAAGAAGUAGGUAGCUUAACCUUCGGGAGGGCGCUUACCACUUUGUGAUUCAUGACUGGGGUGAAGUCGUAACAAGGUAACCGUAGGGGAACCUGC
rnacentral:rRNA from 2 species